rnacentral:rRNA from 1 species
ACCAGACUCCUACGGGAGGCAGCAGUGGGGAAUAUUGGGCAAUGGGCGCAAGCCUGACCCAGCAACGCCGCGUGAAGGAAGAAGGCUUUCGGGUUGUAAACUUCUUUUGACAGGGAAGAGCAGAAGACGGUACCUGUCGAAUAAGCCACGGCUAACUACGUGCCAGCAGCCGCGGUAAUACGUAGGUGGCAAGCGUUAUCCGGAUUUACUGGGUGUAAAGGGCGUGUAGGCGGGUCUGCAAGUCAGAUGUGAAAUUCCAGGGCUCAACCCUGGAACUGCAUUUGAAACUGUAGAUCUUGAGUGAUGGAGAGGCAGGCGGAAUUCCGUGUGUAGCGGUGAAAUGCGUAGAUAUACGGAGGAACACCAGUGGCGAAGGCGGCCUGCUGGACAUUAACUGACGCUGAGGCGCGAAGGCGUGGGGAGCAAACAGGAUUAGAUACCCUCGUA